CCUACCCUUGACAUGUCUGGAACCUUGGUGAGAGCCGAGGUGCCUUCGGAGCCAGAACACAGGUGCUGCAUGGCUGUCGUCAGCUCGUGUCGUGAGAUGUUGGGUUAAGUCCCGCAACGAGCGCAACCCUUAUCAUUAGUUGCUACGCAAGGGCACUCUAAUGAGACUGCCGGUGACAAACCGGAGGAAGGUGGGGAUGACGUCAAGUCCUCAUGGCCCUUACAUCCCGGGCUACACACGUGCUACAAUGGCAGGUACAGAGGGCUGCAAAGCCGCGAGGUAGAGCGAAUCCCAGAAAACCUGUCCCAGUCCGGAUUGAAGUCUGCAACUCGACUUCAUGAAGGCGGAAUCGCUAGUAACCGCGAAUCAGCAGGUCGCGGUGAAUACGUUCCCGGGCCUU
rnacentral:rRNA from 1 species